UGGAGUGUCUUGUGCAGGGAGUCUAGGAGGAGCCACAGUAGAUGGUCCAACGUUUGGAAUGGAUAAGAUUUCUGUAGCGGAAGGUGAAGGAGGAGAUAUAGUAGACUCCCUAAAGGCCGGCAUGGGUAAAACCUCAGAUAUAUCCAUAUGGUCAGAAUGGUCAGAAGAGGUAAAGAAAGGUUUAGACUCAAAAAAGGUGACAUCGGCCGA
rnacentral:lncRNA from 1 species